rnacentral:rRNA from 1 species
UACGGAGGAUGCGAGCGUUAUCCGGAUUUAUUGGGUUUAAAGGGUGCGUAGGCGGGCUUUUAAGUCAGCGGUAAAAAUUCGGGGCUCAACCCCGUCCGGCCGUUGAAACUGGGGGUCUUGAGUGGGCGAGAAGAAGGCGGAAUGCGUGGUGUAGCGGUGAAAUGCAUAGAUAUCACGCAGAACCCCGAUUGCGAAGGCAGCCUUCCGGCGCCCUACUGACGCCGAGGCACGAAAGUGCGGGGAUCGAACAGG